AAGCGGUGGAGCAUGUGGUUUAAUUCGAUGCAACGCGAAGAACCUUACCUGGGCUUGACAUCCACGGAACCUGCUGGAAACAGUGGGUGCCUUCGGGAGCCGUGAGACAGGUGGUGCAUGGUUGUCGUCAGCUCGUGUCGUGAGAUGUUGGGUUAAGUCCCGCAACGAGCGCAACCCCUAUUGUUAGUUGCCAUCAUUCAGUUGGGCACUCUAGCGAGACUGCCGGUAAUAAACCGGAGGAAGGUGGGGAUGACGUCAAAUCAUCAUGCCCCUUAUGACCUGGGCUACACACGUGCUACAAUGGUUGGUACAACGAGUUGCGAGUCGGUGACGGCGAGCUAAUCUCUUAAAGCCAAUCUCAGUUCGGAUUGUAGGCUGCAACUCGCCUACAUGAAGUCGGAAUCGCUAGUAAUCGCGGAUCAGCACGCCGCGGUGAAUACGUUCCCGGGCCUU
rnacentral:rRNA from 1 species